GACGAACGCUGGCGGCGUGCUUAACACAUGCAAGUCGAACGGAAAGGCCCUGCUUGCAGGGUGCUCGAGUGGCGAACGGGUGAGUAACACGUGGGUGAUCUGCCCCUUACUUUGGGAUAAGCCUGGGAAACUGGGUCUAAUACUGGAUAGGACCAUGCUGUAGGUGGUGUGGUGGAAAGAUUAGUUUCGGUAAGGGAUGAGCUCGCGGCCUAUCAGCUUGUUGGUGGGGUAAUGGCCUACCAAGGCGUCGACGGGUAGCCGGCCUGAGAGGGUGGACGGCCACAUUGGGACUGAGAUACGGCCCAGACUCCUACGGGAGGCAGCAGUGGGGAAUAUUGCACAAUGGGCGCAAGCCUGAUGCAGCGACGCCGCGUGGGGGAUGACGGCCUUCGGGUUGUAAACUCCUUUCAGCCAUGACGAAGCCCUUGUGGUGACGGUAGUGGUAGAAGAAGCACCGGCUAACUACGG
rnacentral:rRNA from 1 species